rnacentral:misc_RNA from 1 species
AUUUUAUGUCCAGUACUG